rnacentral:rRNA from 1 species
UACGUAGGGUGCGAGCGUUGUCCGGAAUUAUUGGGCGUAAAGAGCUCGUAGGCGGUCUGUCGCGUCGGUCGUGAAAACUUGGGGCUUAACCCUGAGCUUGCGGUCGAUACGGGCAUGACUGGAGUUCGGCAGGGGAGACUGGAAUUCCUGGUGUAGCGGUGAAAUGCGCAGAUAUCAGGAGGAACACCGAUGGCGAAGGCAGCCAUCUGGACCGACACUGACGCUGAGGCGCGAAAGCGUGGGGAGCAAACAGG